CCUACGGGUGGCUGCAGUCGAGAAUCAUUCACAAUGGGGGAAACCCUGAUGGUGCGACGCCGCGUGGGGGAAUGCAGGUCUUCGGAUUGUAAACCCCUGUUAUGUGGGAGCAAAUUAAAAAGAUAGUACCACAAGAGGAAUAGACGGCUAACUCUGUGCCAGCAGCCGCGGUAAUACAGAGGGCUCAAGCGUUGUUCGGAAUCACUGGGCGUAAAGCGUGCGUAGGCUGUGUCGGAAGUCGUGUGUGAAAGGCGCGGGCUCAACCAGCGGACGGCACAUGAUACUGGGAGGCUAGAGUACGCGGAGGGGAAGCGGAAUUCGUGGUGUAGCGGUGAAAUGCGUAGAUAUCGAGAAGAACACUCGGGGCGAAGGCAGGUUCCUGGACAUUAACUGACGCUGAGGCACGAAGGCCAGGGGAGCGAAAGGGAUUAGAUACCCCUGUAGUC
rnacentral:rRNA from 1 species